rnacentral:rRNA from 2 species
UCGAGCGAACGAUGAGAAGCUUGCUUCUCUGAUGUUAGCGGCGGACGGGUGAGUAACACGUGGGUACCUACCUAUAAGACUGGGAUAACUCCGGGAACCGGGGCUAAUACCGGAUAAUAUUUUGAACCGCAUGGUUCAAUAGUGAAAGACGGUUUCGGCUGUCACUUAUAGAUGGACCCGCGCCGUAUUAGCUAGUUGGUAAGGUAACGGCUUACCAAGGCGACGAUACGUAGCCGACCUGAGAGGGUGAUCGGCCACACUGGAACUGAGACACGGUCCAGACUCCUACGGGAGGCAGCAGUAGGGAAUCUUCCGCAAUGGGCGAAAGCCUGACGGAGCAACGCCGCGUGAGUGAUGAAGGUCUUCGGAUCGUAAAACUCUGUUGUUAGGGAAGAACAAAUUUGUUAGUAACUGAACAAGUCUUGACGGUACCUAACCAGAAAGCCACGGCUAACUACGUGCCAGCAGCCGCGGUAAUACGUAGGUGGCAAGCGUUAUCCGGAAUUAUUGGGCGUAAAGCGCGCGUAGGCGGUUUCUUAAGUCUGAUGUGAAAGCCCGCGGCUCAACCGGGGAGGGUCAUUGGAAACUGGGGAACUUGAGUGCAGAAGAGGAGAGUGGAAUUCCACGUGUAGCGGUGAAAUGCGUAGAGAUGUGGAGGAACACCAGUGGCGAAGGCGACUCUCUGGUCUGUAACUGACGCUGAGGAGCGAAAGCGUGGGGAGCGAACAGGAUUAGAUACCCUGGUAGUCCACGCCGUAAACGAUGAGUGCUAAGUGUUAGGGGGUUUCCGCCCCUUAGUGCUGCAGCUAACGCAUUAAGCACUCCGCCUGGGGAGUACGACCGCAAGGUUGAAACUCAAAGGAAUUGACGGGGACCCGCACAAGCGGUGGAGCAUGUGGUUUAAUUCGAAGCAACGCGAAGAACCUUACCAAAUCUUGACAUCCUUUGACCGCUCUAGAGAUAGAGUCUUCCCCUUCGGGGGACAAAGUGACAGGUGGUGCAUGGUUGUCGUCAGCUCGUGUCGUGAGAUGUUGGGUUAAGUCCCGCAACGAGCGCAACCCUUAAGCUUAGUUGCCAUCAUUAAGUUGGGCACUCUAGGUUGACUGCCGGUGACAAACCGGAGGAAGGUGGGGAUGACGUCAAAUCAUCAUGCCCCUUAUGAUUUGGGCUACACACGUGCUACAAUGGAUAAUACAAAGGGCAGCGAAUCCGCGAGGCCAAGCAAAUCCCAUAAAAUUAUUCUCAGUUCGGAUUGUAGUCUGCAACUCGACUACAUGAAGCUGGAAUCGCUAGUAAUCGUAGAUCAGCAUGCUACGGUGAAUACGUUCCCGGGUCUUGUACACACCGCCCUUCACACCACGAGAGUUGUAACACCCGAAGCCGGUGGAGUAACCUUUUAGGAGCUAGCCGUCGAAG